GGGUCAAUGAUGAGAAUGCUUUAUUGUACUGAAGAGAGGUGAUGACUUAAAAAUCAUGCUCAAUAGGAUUACGCUGAGGCCC
ensembl:snoRNA SNORD115 Small nucleolar RNA SNORD115